rnacentral:misc_RNA from 1 species
UGUUUUCCUCUAUAAGUAUCAGUCACCACUUCGGUUUCCAGUCAUUCCAAGUCCCACCUCUUCAAUCACAACAAGAAACCAAGAAAUGGAAACUCCUGUUUGGGUUGCCUACGCAACUGCCUGGGUUGCCACCGUAGCUUUGAUCCUCCUCUCCCGCCGUCCCCGCAGCCGUAAAUUUAACCUGCCACCAGGUCCAAAAUCUUGGCCCAUAAUCGGAAACCUCAAUCUUAUAGGCUCACUCCCCCACCGCUCCGUCCACGCCCUCUCCCAAAAAUAUGGUCCCAUUAUGCAACUCAAAUUCGGGUCUUUCCCGGUGGUUGUAGGCUCCUCCGUUGAAAUGGCCAAAACCAUCCUUAAAACCCAUGAUCUCAGCUUCGUCGGCCGGCCAAAAACCGCCGCCGGCAAGUACACAACCUAUAAUUACAAAGACAUCACAUGGUCACCCUAUGGAACCUAUUGGCGACAAGCACGUAAAAUCUGCGUAAUGGAGCUUUUCAGUGCAAAACGCCUAGAAUCAUACGAGUAUAUACGUGCAGAAGAGCUAAGAUCACUCCUUAGAAACUUGUUCUCGUCGAUUGGCAACCCCAUUAACGUGAAAGAUCAUCUCUCAGAUCUUAGUCUGAACGUGAUAAGCCGAAUGGUAUUGGGAAAGAAGUACACAGUGAAGAUCGAAGGUGAAAAUGAGAUUGUGACGCCGGAGGAGUUCAAGGAGAUGCUGGAUGAGCUUUUCUUGCUUAAUGGGGUGUUGGAUAUAGGGGAUUCGAUCCCUUGGCUUGCUUUCUUGGAUUUACAGGGGUAUAUAAAGAGAAUGAAAACUUUGAACAAAAAAUUUAACAGGUUCUUGGAGCAUGUUUUGGAUGAACAUGAUGCGAGGAGAAAAGGGGUUGAGAAUUAUGUGGCCAAAGAUAUGGUGGAUGUUCUUCUGCAGCUCGCUGAUGAUCCUACUCUUGAGGUUAAGCUUGAAAGAAAUGGAGUCAAGGGAUUCACACAGGACUUGAUCGCUGGAGGGACAGAGAGCUCGGCAGUAACAGUAGAGUGGGCACUUUCCGAGCUCUUGAGAAAGCCAGAGAUUUUUGAGAAGGCAACAGAAGAGCUAGACAGGGUGAUUGGAAGAGAAAGAUGGGUAGAAGAGAAAGACAUUGUUAAUUUACCAUUUAUUGAUGCAAUUGCUAAGGAGACUAUGCGUUUGCACCCUGUGGCACCUAUGUUGGUUCCAAGACUCUGUCGUGAAGAUACCAAAAUAGCUGGUUAUGACAUUCUUGAAGGCACUCGUAUCCUUGUCAACGUGUGGACUAUAGGGAGGGACCCUAGCAUUUGGGAUAACCCUAAUGAGUUUUGCCCUGAAAGGUUCCUUGGUAAAGGAAUUGAUGUUAAAGGGCAAGAUUUUGAGCUAUUGCCAUUUGGUGCUGGAAGGAGAAUGUGCCCUGGGUAUCCUCUAGGAAUCAAGGUGAUUCAAACAAGUUUAGCAAAUCUUUUGCAUGGAUUUAAGUGGAAAUUGCCAGGAGACAUGAAGAAAGAGGACUUAAACAUGGAGGAAAUUUUUGGGCUUUCAACUCCAAGAAAAUUCCCACUUCUUGUUGUUGCUGAACCUCGUCUCCCAUCACAUGUUUACUCUCUGUGAUUUUUGUUUGGUUUCAUUUUCCCAUUUGUUUCCCCCUUGUCAGGGUUUUAUCACUAAGCAGAUGAAUCAUCAAAUAAUUAUCUCGUAUGUCUGGAGUGUAGCCAAUGAAAAGUUCAUUAGUAGUAGUUUUUGUUUUAUCGUUAAUGGAAUAUAUAUAUACUACAGUAUUUUAAUAGUCUUUUUCAAGUUAUUUCUAUUCUUUU